rnacentral:rRNA from 1 species
AUUGAACGCUGGCGGCAGGCCUAACACAUGCCAGUCGAACGGUAACAGGAAGCAGCUUGCUGCUUCGCUGACGAGUGGCGGACGGGUGAGUAAUGUCUGGGAAACUGCCUGAUGGAGGGGGAUAACUACUGGAAACGGUAGCUAAUACCGCAUAACGUCGCAAGACCAAAGAGGGGGACCUUAGGGCCUCUUGCCAUCGGAUGUGCCCAGAUGGGAUUAGCUAGUAGGUGGGGUAACGGCUCACCUAGGCGACGAUCCCUAGCUGGUCUGACAGGAUGACCAGCCACACUGGAACUGAGACACGGUCCAGACUCCUACGGGAGGCAGCAGUGGGGAAUAUUGCACAAUGGGCGCAAGCCUGAUGCAGCCAUGCCGCGUGUAUGAAGAAGGCCUUCGGGUUGUAAAGUACUUUCAGCGGGGAGGAAGGGAGUAAAGUUAAUACCUUUGCUCAUUGACGUUACCCGCAGAAGAAGCGCCGGCUAACUCCGUG